GACGAACGCUGGCGGCGUGCCUAAUACAUGCAAGUAGAACGCACAGUUUAUACCGUAGCUUGCUACACCAUAGACUGUGAGUUGCGAACGGGUGAGUAACGCGUAGGUAACCUGCCUGGUAGCGGGGGAUAACUAUUGGAAACGAUAGCUAAUACCGCAUAAUAUUGAUUAUUGCAUGAUAAUUAAUUGAAAGGUGCAAUUGCACCACUACCAGAUGGACCUGCGUUGUAUUAGCUAGUAGGUGAGGUAACGGCUCACCUAGGCGACGAUACAUAGCCGAACUGAGAGGGGGAUCGGCCACACUGGGACUGAGACACGGCCCAGACUCCUACGGGAGGCAGCAGGAGGGAAUCUUCGGCAAUGGACGAAAGGCUGACCGAGCAACGCCGCGUGAGUGAAGAAGGGUUUCGGAUCGUAAAGCUCUGUUGUAAGAGAAGAACGGGUGUGAGAGUGGAAAGUUCACACUGUGACGGUAUCUUACCAGAAAGGGACGGCUAACUACGUG
rnacentral:rRNA from 1 species